rnacentral:rRNA from 1 species
CAAAAUGACUCUCGGCAACGGAUAUCUCGGCUCUCGCAUCGAUGAAGAACGUAGCGAAAUGCGAUACUUGGUGUGAAUUGCAGAAUCCAGCGAACCAUCGAGUCUUUGAACGCAAGUUGCGCUCGAAGCCUUCGGGCUAAGGGCACGUCUGCCUG